rnacentral:lncRNA from 1 species
GCCUAGAGAAAAGUUCAGAAGCCUUGGAUGAAAGAAAAGCAACAAAAGGGAGCGAAAGCAGUAAGCAGUUUAAAGUCAAGGUGAAAUUCCUUCUGUUAUCUUGCUGCGGGGGAAUGUGAAUCUCAGCGUGAGUCCAGUCAGAAGAGCAGGACUCGGGAAGCAGCCGGGUCCACCCAACGGUUCAGGGUACAUCGCACUCAACAGUGCACAUUUUGGUGCCAAUGACAGAAGCCUUCCAGAAAACAAAACAACAAGAACUUGGACUGAGGCUGUAGCUCAGUGGCAGAGAACUUUGCUAGCACGCACAAGGCCCUGGGUUAGAUUCCAACAUUGAAAAAGGAAAAAAAAAUCAAGAACCCAAUCAAACCAUAAUACUUUCAGAAAUUUAGUAGCACUCGAUUAAUGAAAAGGUAAGAUUCUAUAACUACA